ACCCAGGGAGCAGGCAUGCAGAAGCAGGAGACCUGAGCUCUCCCCCGGGGCCUGUUGCUUGGUGACAUUCCUGCCUUGUUACAGCCCCUGGUCCCCCAAGAACAUGAGUGGGAACAGAUUCUGCUGGAGGAUUGCAGAGGCCCAGUCAGGAGCCUUCCUGCAAUGGGAUGAUGUAACUGGGACAGUCCCUCAAGGACAUUGCAGGAAGUGGGAGAGUUGGUCUUGUUGGCUUGUUGGGGCCCCCAUUUCCCUAGGGUUCUGCGGAGGAGGGAGAACACUGAAUUACUGUUAAGACGCUGUUGAUAAGAUUCCAUGAAGCGGCACAAUAAGCCGGUUGGUGAUGGGGAGACCUCGGAACAGUGCCAGCACGUUCUAAGUGGCUGUUGCACCACACUGUCAUCAUGCUGAGCCCUAGUGGUGUUGUCUCGGCUGCGCGAGCAUCACUGUCACGGGUCUUGUCCUGUAGUUCAGACUGACCUGGAACUCACUAUAUGAACCAGGCUACCUUCAAACCUGAGAGCCCCCUGCCUCAGGACCCCUGUGCUGGGGUUCAGGAUUGAGCCACAGUACCUGCCUCUAACACGCUUUGGUGUUUUGGUUUUGCUUUCGCUUUCCUGGGGUUUCCUCUGCUGAGCAUCACAAUGAGGAAGGCAGGGCUGGAUUUUUGUCUUCGACUUGAACAAACUAUUCCUACCAUAAUUCACCUGAAAACUUGGGCUCUGGAAGUUGCUUAGAACAGAGGUGCGACCUGGGGAAUGAAGGUACAGGCCAGGCUAACGAGAACACAGGAGAGGCCUGGAGCUCCUCCCCUCCUCCCCUUCCCUGAGCCCCUAGGUGCUCCCAGCUGCUUCCUGCUCCCCACUCUGCACCCGAAGCUCUCCAGAGCCUGGGUGGGGGUACCUGCUCUCCAGCUGGUGCCUUUCCCCUGAAAUCUGACCCUGGGAAUCCUGGCACCCCCUUCCCUGCACUACCCUGCCAGCUGCUCCCUGCUGGCCCCUCUCCCAAGAUCUCCCUAGGAUGAGCAGUGGCGCUGGCUCAUGGUUCCAUCUCCACCUGGCAUAUGGUGGCUCCUUUCUCCACCCAGUGCCAGCAUGGGUCUCUCACCAGACACGGGAACAGCUGGGCUUCUGGGCCCCUUGCACCUUCAUCACCCUCUCAGCUUUCAGGGCUGCAUCACCUCAGUAUCUGCUCUUCCUGCCCGGGAGUUAGCCAGGGAAAGCAAAGAGCUCACUUCGUAAAAGGAAACAGGCAGUGUAACCCAGACAUGUCACUAGGUGCCAACUCUCAUCAGUUGGGCCUGCCCAGAAACAGACCUGCCGAAUCUAAAAGCUGCAUGCAGCCUCUGGUGGAAGGAAGGCUGUGAUUAAGUAUUAAUGUCUGCCAUGAACAGGUGUAAUUGGUUAGCAGUGUCUGCCCUAUAUAGAUGCUAUUGAUUAGAAAUAUCUGCCAUGUAUAGGUGCAGUUGACUGGCAGUGUCUGCCAUGCAUAAGUAUAAUCAAUAUAGGUGCAAUUGAUUAGCAAUGUCUGCCAUGCAUAAGUAUAAUCAAUUAGCAAUGUCUGCCACGUGUGCAGCUUCAUGAAUGCUAAAGAUUACCGACUAUUGUUUGUCAAGACAGUGCAAAAGUCCUGAUAGUUGAGAAGUGAUUAUUAAGAUAGCCAGACACACACACACACACACACACACACACACACACACACACACACAGAGAGAGAGAGAGAGAGAGAGAGAGAGAGAGAGAGAGAGCGACAGAGAGAGGCAGAUAGAUAAAUGGAUGAUAGAUCUAUCCAUGAUCUGUUGGAACACUUGCCCAAGGCUGAAUGUGAGAAGCUGGUGCAUAUUUGUGCACAGAGACCUGAUUCCUAUCAAUGACAAAGAUGUUCUCAACAGCCAUACUUUGUUCUCGGAGGUUUCUCUACGUCUCCAGCAGCAUCACCCUUCUAGGUUGAGAUGACAGACUUCCAACAGCAAUGAAAUAAAUACCAUCCCUUUCCUCUUUC